AGGGGCUGUCGUGGACGUGACUCCGCAACAUAGGAGAGCAACCAGGCGGGCACAGAGCCAGCGUACUAAUAGACUCUGUCAUAGGAGAAGCCCUUCCCACAGGAUCCUUCUUGAAGGCAAGAAGAAGUGAGAGAAGAAAGAGAUGAGGAAAACUGAAAUCAUCAAAGCCCAAGUCACAGAACGAAUUAAGUGUAAGUGCCAAGACGAGAACCCAAGCAGUCUGUUCUGUCUCCAUCACUUGUGCCCCCACUACCUACCCCAGCCUGUGCAACUAGAUAAGCCACUUAGCCUCGCUGGGCAUCCGUUUCUUCAUCUUUAAAGUGCGGCUGGGAAGUCCCGCCUUAACUGCCCUCUGCCAGGGUGUGUGGGGCGUCAGUGGAAGAGGAUUAAGAAUGUCCAAAAAGCAGGACACACACUGUGCAUCUAAUGAUUGUCCCUGGGGUGACUUCGUGUUGCUGGGCCAUCGACAACAGGGGUGAAGGGAGAGUGGGGAGGGGAAGGAAGUGAAGUAUCUGAUGCCAGGACAGACACAAAGCGCCAAUAACUGAAUUAAACCCAUUUGCUUGUUGACCCAUC